AGGUUUUCCAGUAAAAGGGGCUCUACCCGCGGUUCCGUUUUCUUCAGGGUCUCGGGCUCACGGCGAUAGCCUGGUGGCCGCCGAAGGGCCCAGAGCGUGAGGGGCAGCGGUUGGGCGGAGUUUGUUCUCCAAAGCACUAAGGCCAAGAGCCAGCAAGAACGAAAAUGCUCUCUAAGGAAAAGAAGAUCAAGGAAGACAGAAACAAAGACUAUAGUAAUGGCAUCAGCGUUCCUGAAGGAAGGAGAGGUGGGAGUUCUUCCCACGGCAAAUUUGACAGGAGGUGCGUUCGUUACGAACGUGGCACGCAUGGGCUUCGGCCUUCGCACUUCGAGGAGGAUGAUGGACACCGGAUGAGGGAUGUGCGCGAGGAUCCCCGAGCAAGCAACCCUUAUGCCAGAAGCUGCAACAAGAGGAGACAGAAAUGGAGUGACGCACACCAGUUUCUUGUUACCGUGCGCAGAGACCCACAGUCUCAGGAGAGCGCUCUGGCUGAGGGCACACAGGAGAGAAGCGCGCAGAGCUGGUUCAAGAUCACAGUGAGUAUCCUAGCGAGGUCUGCCUUAGCUAGAGUAUGCUGGAACCUAGUAGAAGGAAGACUGCGUUAACUGUGGUUUGUUGAUAAUUGGGAGAAGAACGUCUAGAAGGAGAGACGGGGUUUGGGAAACCCAUAUUCGGCACAGAGAAAGGGAAUCGUGCCCCUGGUCCCAUCAGAAGUCCUUUAAAGCGAGGGAGAAAGUCAGAAAAGAGCAC
rnacentral:lncRNA from 1 species